rnacentral:lncRNA from 8 species
AUGAAGGUCAGGCAAUCUGGAACAUUUCAAGAACUUUUAAAGUUUCUUCAAGUACAGUUGCAAAAACCAUCAAGCGCUAUGAUGAAACUGGCUCUCAUGAGGACCCCCACAGGAAUGGAAGACCCAGAGUUAGCUCUGCUGCAGAGGAUAAUCAACAAGCUAAGGACCCUGGGACUAAACAUCUCUCUCUGCAACUGGAUCGUGGACUUCCUGACUGGCCGCCCCCAGGUGGUAAGGGUAGGUAACAACAAAUCCGCCACGCUGAUCCAUAACACAGGGGCCCCUCAGGGGUGCGUGCUCAGUCCCCUCUUGUACUCCCUGUUCACUCAUGACUGCACGGCCAGGCAUGACUCCAACACCAUCAUUAAGUUUGCAGAUGACACAGUGGUAGGCCUGAUCACUGACAAUGAUGAGACAGCCUAUUGGGAGGAGGUCAGAGACCUGGCCGUGUGGUGCCAGGACAACAACCUCUCCCUCAACGUGAUCAAGACAAAGGAGAUGAUUGUGGACUACAGGAAAAGGAGGACCGAGCACAUCCCCAUUCUCAUCGAUGGGGCUGUAGUGAAGCAGGCCAACAAACUAACAUGGUCCAAGCACACCAAGACAGUCAUGAAGAGGGCACGACAAAACAUAUUCCCCUUCAGGAGACUGAAAAGAUUUGGCAUGGGUCCUCAGAUCCUCAAAAGGUUCUACAGCUGCACCGUCACGAGCAUCCUGACAGGUUGCAUCACUGCCUGGUAUGGCAACUGCUCAGCCUCUGACCGCAAGGCACAACAGAGGGGAGUGUGCAUGGCCCAGUACAUCACUGGGGCAAAGAUUCCUGCCAUCCAGAACCUCUAUACCAGGCGGUGUCGGAGGAAGGCCCUGAAAAUUGUCAAAGACUCCAGCCACCCUAGUCAUAGACUGUUCUCUUUGCUACUGCAUGGCAAGCGGUACUGGAGCGCCAAGUCUAGGUCCAAGACUCCUGAACAUCUAAUCAAAUGGCUACCAAGACUAUUUACAUUGCCCCCCUCUUUUACGCCGCUGAUACUCUGUUAUUUUCUAUGCAUAGUCACUUUAAUAACUCUACCUACAUGUACAUAUUACCUCAAUUAA